CUCUCUCUCUCUCUCUCUCUCUCUCUCUCAUCAUUUCAACCUUUAUUUAUCCUUUUAUCUAUGUCUUUUAUAUAUUAAUAUUGUUAGAUCUUAUUUAUUUAGCUCAAACAGAGAAAUAUGUGUCUAUUUAGAAUAAGUGUUACCACAGGACUUUUUCUGCCAUGUUUACACCAUGUCCCAUUAAUUUUCUCUUAACUACCUUGUGCAGUAGAGACUCAUUUUAUUUUGCUACAUUGAAAAGCUAUCCAUUCUAUUUUCCUUCUAUCUUGCUAUAUAGGUCCGGCUGGCAUGGGACUUAUGAUCUUGGGGCUGGGAGACAGCUCAGUGAUAGAGCACUUGCCUGGCAUGCACAAAGCCCUAGUUUCAGUCCUCAGUACCACAAAAACAAAGACAGAGGAGUCUGUGAUCUCCUCGCCUCACAUGUCUAAAUGCUGGGUUCACAGCUUCUACCACCAUGCCUGGUCCUUCACACAAACUGAGAAAAAAACUUGCUGAGCUAAGAAAUUUGUGAUGCUUUGAAGACAGUAAGUUUUCAACAAAUAUAAGUUGCUUCCAAGAACACACAAAAUAUGAAGCCUUUGAGAGGGAACUGACACUGAUUCUAACCACUC